AUGCCAGCUGGUCCUACUACCUUUCAUAAUUGUGUGUGCUGCAAUAUGUGGUUCCAAAUCUCAUUGCCACAUCUUGACCCAGAUCUGGAAUGGGGAUUUGCAGCCAGUGCUUUAUGUAUGGAUGGAAGCAGUAAAAGCAUCCAACUGCACCAAGUGGAGAAUGGGAUAAAGGCACAAACCCUGCUAUGUCAGAGCACCAGGUGCCGCCAAUACUUAGGCCAAUCUAUACUACAGAUAAGCUUGUUUCUCAGCCUUCCCUGCAGUUGCUUUAAGAGCCAGCAUGCUGGAGUCCAAUGAGUAAGUUGACUCUUUGCUCUUUACAUUAUCUUUUUAAAAAUUGUGUGUGGUCUGCAUUCUCUUCCUUUCAGUCUUAAGUCUUAAAGUCCAUCCUGUAGUUUCAGUAAGAAUUCAUGAGGGAGCAAAAGUAAAUAUCUGUUUUUAUUAUGCCAUUUUUAUCUAGAAAUCAGAAGAAAUAUAUUUUAUUAAAUUAUCUAUUGUCAGAAAAAAUCCAGAGAUAGCAAAAUUUAAACGACCACAUCAAUAAAUAGUAUGAAAUAAGAGUUUAUGGUACAUAUAAGAAGAGUUAGUAAACUAGGAGCCUCCAAACAUGAAAACUAUGUGAAAAUCAGGGGCAUGAAGUUGCAGGAUGGAUUAUAGAGUGAAAAUGUGGUAGUUGUUGGAUAUUUAUAAUGAUUGGUUAUUACAAUGGGGGUUUUCCAGACAGUAAGGGAUUGGUUCACAGUGAUUAUCUCGUAUCAUUUUGUGGGAAGGUGACUUCAAUUUCUUUCAUGAUUUUCAGCGGUAUUUAUAAGAAAUAACCUAAACUAAGUUUUCCUUAUGUUCAUGAAAUAACCUAGGUUUUCAUUUUUCUUAUGUGACUUACAUGGUUCUGUCUGUUCAUGGCAUUCUCAAGUUUUAUCUCCAUUUUAUAUUUAAUUUGAACUCUUGGAGUAAAAUUGAGCUGUGCUCUGUGAGUUUUCCCUGCUGUAGUUCAAUUUAAGUAAUAAUUUGUGCUAAUUCCUUUUACAUUCUGUAAUGUUUCCUGAUAGUCUUGGUUUCCAAAGUUGUGAAUCUUUAAAAAAAAAAAAAAAAGGCUGACUUUAUGGAUAUCUCAGUAAUCGAUUGAGAGGUUGUUUUAGAAUCUUCUUGUCAGAGAUCAUUCUGAACUGGAAACUACUAAUUUUGUUUAGAAAACUGUGUGAUGUAAUUGGAUGAAAACUAGAGCUGGGCAUGCUGGCCUUGGAUAUUCCUUAAGAGAAAAAGCUUUUUACCACAUUUCAAAUAAUGGCUUUUCCCAUCACCUGAGACCUAUAUGAUUAUGUAUAGGUCAUCACACACCACAGGUGUUCUAUGAAUGUGUGUAGGCAGCUACUUUUCUGAAAGCUUUUCUUACAGCAAAAGUCCUUUAAAGAGAUGUCUGUACAUACUUUAUUGUGCUCAGUCCCUGGGUGAUAACAUUUACCCCAUGAAUCUAAACUGUUAUCACAAAGAAAACGGAUCCAAAACUUAUAACUCUCUCUCUGACCUACUCUUUAAGCUUGGCCUCAUUUACCUACCACUUUUGAUGUCUAGCGGGCAUCUCAAAAAAGAAGCCUUAGUCACAUCCUGCCCGUUCCUUUCCAGGUUGUUUCUGUCUCAGUAGAUGACUCUGCAUUUACUCUGUGUUGCUCAGUCCCAGCUUUUUUAAAUUGAGU
rnacentral:lncRNA from 1 species